rnacentral:lncRNA from 1 species
CAUCAUUAUUUCUACCUCCUGUUCCCCUCUGCUGCCUCAGUGCACCCUUAGACACAGUGAUAAACUAAGAUUCUCCAGCUCUGCAUCACUCACCAUGAGGGUAUUCUCCAUCUUGCAUUUGUGUUUCCUUCUCUUGGCAAUGAUGCUGAGUCUGCAUCACGUGUCAGCUGAUCCCAUUCCCGACCCAGCAGUGAUCGAAAUAUACAAGAAUAUUCCUGAUGACGUUACGGGAAAAUAUGUGCUCGACUUGAAAGAUAAGGCAGUGGAAUGUGACACGACACCAACACCUUAAAGACACUGAAGAAGAGGGAGAUAAAGGGGGGAAUGGGAGAAGACAGAGAAAGAUGAAGGAUGGGAGGAAGAAAGGGAGAGAAAAAAAAUUGUCGAUGCACAAUGUGAAUAACGAUUAUAUUUGAAAGGAAAAGGAUAAUAACGAUGAUAACGGUUAAAGAGAAGAAGAGGACAUAAAAGAAUGACUUUGAAUUUGACGAACUUUCUAAACAUCAUGAGAGUUGAAGAAUUAAAGGUUAGAGAAUUAUUAAAGAUAACAAUAAAAACGCAAACAAGAAGAUAACAAAAGAAUAAA